UCCGGUUGAUCCUGCCGGAGGCACCGCUUUUGGAGUUCGAUUAAGCCAUGCGAGUCGAGAGCCUUAGGGGCUCGGCAUACUGCUCAGUAACACGUGGAUAACCUGCCCUAUUGUCUGGAAUAACCUCGGGGAACUGAGAACAAGGCCGGAUAGCCCACAAUGCCUGGAACGGUUUGUGGGUGAAGAUAGGAUGGGUCUGCGGCGUAUCAGGUUGUAGGGGAGUGUAAUGGAACUCCUAGCCAUCGACGCGUACGGGUGUUGGGAGACAUAGCCCGGAGAUGGAUUCUGAGACACGAAUCCAGACCCUACGGGGUGCAGCAGGCGCGAAAACUUCACACUGAAGGAAACUGUGAUGAGGGAACUCCAAGUGCUAUCACUAUGUGGUAGCUUUUCUUGACUAUUAAUCGGUCAUGGAAUAAGGGCUGGGAAAGAACGGUGCCAGACACGCGAUAAUACCGGCAGCUCAAGUGGUCGAAGCUUAAAUUGGGCCUAAAACGUACGUAGACUGUUAGGUAAAUCUGUGGGUAAAUCAACCAACUAUAAAUGG
rnacentral:rRNA from 1 species